rnacentral:rRNA from 1 species
GAUGAACGCUGGCGGCGUGCCUAAUACAUGCAAGUCGAGCGAACAGAUGAGGAGCUUGCUCCUCUGACGUUAGCGGCGGACGGGUGAGUAACACGUGGAUAACCUACCUAUAAGACUGGGAUAACUUCGGGAAACCGGAGCUAAUACCGGAUAAUAUAUUUAACCGCAUGGUUCAAUAGUGAAAGACGGUUUUGCUGUCACUUAUAGAUGGAUCCGCGCCGCAUUAGCUAGUUGGUAAGGUAACGGCUUACCAAGGCGACGAUGCGUAGCCGACCUGAGAGGGUAAUCGGCCACACUGGAACUGAGGAACGGUCCAGACUCCUACGGGAGGCAGCAGUAGGGAAUCUUCCGCAAUGGGCGAAAGCCUGACGGAGCAACGCCGCGUGAGUGAUGAAGGUCUUCGGAUCGUAAAACUCUGUUAUUAGGGAAGAACAAAUGUGUAAGUAACUAUGCACGUCUUGACGGUACCUAAUCAGAAAGCCACGGCUAACUACGUG